rnacentral:rRNA from 1 species
GACAGAGGGUGCAAACGUUGUUCGGAAUUACUGGGCGUAAAGCGUGUGUAGGCGGCCAGGCAAGUCGGAUGUGAAAGCCCCAGGCUCAACCUGGGAAGUGCACCCGAAACUGCUUGGCUUGAGUAUCGGAGAGGUUGGUGGAAUUCUCGGUGUAGAGGUGAAAUUCGUAGAUAUCGAGAGGAACACCGGUGGCGAAGGCGGCCAACUGGACGAAUACUGACGCUGAGACACGAAAGCGUGGGGAGCGAACAGG